rnacentral:tRNA from 1 species
GGCCCGGUAGUUCAGUUGGUUAGAAUGCCAGCCUGUACGCUGGAGGUCGACGGUUCGAGCCCGUUCCGGGUCGCCA